UAAAAAAGACAAGGGAGUUCUGAAAAGAUCUGAGAGGAAGAUAAAUCUUCGACCAAAGCUGAUUUGGGUAAUGCCAACGUAGCCAGUCACUAUUUAUUUAAU
rnacentral:ncRNA from 21 species